GUUUACAACCAUGCCAUUCUGAACGUGCCCGAUCUCCUCUGAUUUUGGAAGCUAAGUAGGGUCGGGUCUGGUUCGUACUCGGAUGAGAGACCACCUUGGAAUACCAGGUGCUGUAGGCG
rnacentral:rRNA from 1 species